GAUGAACGCUGGCGGCGUGCUUAACACAUGCAAGUCGAACGAGCCUUCGGGCUAGUGGCGGACGGGUGAGUAACGCGUGGGAAUCUGCCCUCAGGAGGGGGAUAACGGCCGGAAACGGGCGCUAAUACCCCAUAUGCCGAGAGGUGAAAUGAAUUUCGCCUGAGGAUGAGCCCGCGUCUGAUUAGCUAGUUGGUGGGGUAAUGGCCCACCAAGGCGACGAUCAGUAGCUGGUCUGAGAGGAUGAUCAGCCACACUGGGACUGAGACACGGCCCAGACUCCUACGGGAGGCAGCAGUGGGGAAUUUUCCGCAAUGGGCGAAAGCCUGACGGAGCAACGCCGCGUGAGGGAUGAAGGCCUCUGGGCUGUAAACCUCUUUUCUCAAGGAAGAAGACAUGACGGUACUUGAGGAAUAAGCCACGGCUAAUUCCGUGCCAGCAGCCGCGGUAAUACGGGAGUGGCAAGCGUUAUCCGGAAUUAUUGGGCGUAAAGCGUCCGCAGGCGGCCUUGUAAGUCUGUCGUUAAAGCGUGGAGCUUAACUCCAUUUCAGCGAUGGAAACUACAAGGCUUGAGUGUGGUAGGGGCAGAGGGAAUUCCCGGUGUAGCGGUGAAAUGCGUAGAUAUCGGGAAGAACACCAGUGGCGAAGGCGCUCUGCUGGGCCAUAACUGACGCUCAUGGACGAAAGCCAGGGGAGCGAAAGGGAUUAGAUACCCCUGUAGUCCUGGCCGUAAACGAUGAACACUAGGUGUCGGGGGAAUCGACCCCCUCGGUGUCGUAGCUAACGCGUUAAGUGUUCCGCCUGGGGAGUACGCACGCAAGUGUGAAACUCAAAGGAAUUGACGGGGGCCCGCACAAGCGGUGGAGUAUGUGGUUUAAUUCGAUGCAACGCGAAGAACCUUACCAGGGUUUGACAUCCUGCGAAUCCCUUGGAAAGCGAGGGAGUGCCUUCGGGAGCGCAGAGACAGGUGGUGCAUGGCUGUCGUCAGCUCGUGUCGUGAGAUGUUGGGUUAAGUCCCGCAACGAGCGCAACCCACGUCUUUAGUUGCCAGCAUUCAGUUGGGCACUCUAGAGAGACCGCCGGUGAUAAACCGGAGGAAGGUGUGGAUGACGUCAAGUCAUCAUGCCCCUUACAUCCUGGGCUACACACGUACUACAAUGCUACGGACAAAGGGUUGCAAGCUCGCGAGAGUUAGCUAAUCCCAUAAACCGUGGCUCAGUUCAGAUCGUAGGCUGCAACUCGCCUACGUGAAGGAGGAAUCGCUAGUAAUCGCAGGUCAGCAUACUGCGGUGAAUACGUUCCCGGGCCUUGUACACACCGCCCGUCACACCAUGGAAGUUGGCCAUGCCCGAAGUCGUUACUCCAACCCUUGUGGAGGAGGACGCCGAAGGUGGGGCUGAUGACUGGGGUGAAGUCGUAACAAGGUAGCCGUACCGGAAGGUGCGGCUGGAUCACCUCCUAA
rnacentral:rRNA from 1 species